rnacentral:rRNA from 1 species
UGACACAAAGAGGUAGUGACAAUAAAUAACAAUGCCGGGCUCUUGUAGUCUGGCAAUUGGAAUGAGAACAAUUUAAAUCCCUUAUCGAGGAUCAAUUGGAGGGCAAGUCUGGUGCCAGCAGCCGCGGUAAUUCCAGCUCCAAUAGCGUAUAUUUUAGUUGUUGCAGUUAAAAAGCUCGUAGUCGAAUUUCUGGUUGAGGGAUGCGGUCCGACCUUUGGUGGGUACUUGUACUCCCUGACCAUCUUUGGGUGGAGCCAGUCUGGCAUUAAGUUGUCGGGUUGGGGAUGCCCAUCGUUUACUGUGAAAAAAUUAGAGUGUUCAAAGCAGACUUAUGUCGUUGAAUAUAUUAGCAUGGAAUAAUAAAAUAGGACCGCAGUGCUAUUUUGUUGGUUUGCGCACCGUGGUAAUGAUGAAUAGGGACAGUUGUGUGCAUUCGUAUUCACUUGUAAGAGGUGAAAUUCUUAGAUUAAGGGAAGACGAACUACUGCGAAAGCAUUUGCAAAGGAUGUUUUCAUUGAUCAAGAACGAAAGUGUGGGGAUCGAAGAUGAUUAGAUACCGUCGUAGUCUACACCAUAAACUAUGCCGACUCAGGAUGGGCAAGGAACUUUAUACCUUGUCUGCACUGUAUGUGAAAACAAAGUCUUUGGGUUCCGGGGGGAGUAUGGUCGCAAGGCUGAAACUUAAAGAAAUUGACGGAAGGGCACCACCAGGAGUGGAGCCUG